rnacentral:rRNA from 1 species
GACGAACCGUGCGAACGUUGUUCGGAUUCACUGGGCUUAAAGGGCGCGUAGGCGGGCGAGCGAGUCCGGGGUGAAAUCUUUCGGCUUAACCGGAAGAGGCCUUGGAUACCGCUCGUCUCGAGGGAGGUAGGGGCAGGCGGAACUUCCGGUGGAGCGGUGAAAUGCGUUGAUAUCGGAAGGAACGCCGGUGGCGAAAGCGGCCUGCUGGACCUCUUCUGACGCUGAGGCGCGAAAGCCAGGGGAGCGAACGGG